rnacentral:lncRNA from 1 species
CCAAAGAACCAUCCUCCCCAAGUUAGAAUUCAUGCUUCUUUUAUACUUAAAGUCCUGGUUCCAGCCAGACUCAAGAGGGGAUGUGUUCAUUUCUUCCUUCCUGCAGCCAUUCACAGCCUGUGGAGGAGUUUGGGAAAUGAUUUACCUUCACAGAGCCAUGCCCGGCGAUUUUCAUGAGCCCCAGGCUCAUUAUAUUGAUAAUUGCUAACAUUUGUUGAGCGUUUGCCACACGGCAGGAACUGGCUCACUUUGGAGGAGGAGAGAGAAGAGGAGCAGGGGGCUCUGGGGAGACUAGCCCUUCCUGAUGGCAGCCUCCAGGAAGCCAG